CCAGACUCCUACGGGAGGCAGCAGUGAGGAAUAUUGGUCAAUGGUCGGGAGACUGAACCAGCCAAGCCGCGUGAGGGAUGAAGGUUCAGAGUAUCGUAAACCUCUUUUGUCAGGGAACAAAGGCGGGGACGUGUCCCCGGAUGAGUGUACCUGAAGAAAAAGCAUCGGCUAACUCCGUGCCAGCAGCCGCGGUAAUACGGAGGAUGCGAGCGUUAUCCGGAUUUAUUGGGUUUAAAGGGUGCGUAGGCGGCAUAUCAAGUCAGCGGUAAAACGCCGGGGCCCACCCCCGCCCCGCCGUUGAAACUGGCAGUCUCGAGUUGGAGAGAAGUAUGCGGAAUGCGCGGUGUAGCGGUGAAAUGCAUAGAUAUCGCGCAGAACUCCGAUUGCGAAGGCAGCAUGCCGGCGCCACACUGACGCUGAGGCACGAAAGCGUGGGUAUCGAACAGGAUUAGAUACCCGAGUACG
rnacentral:rRNA from 1 species